AUUUAAAUAGUUUAUUAAAAACGCUGGUCUGUGGAUCCAGAGAUAUAACUUGAAGUUAUUUUAGAUC
rnacentral:tRNA from 1 species